rnacentral:rRNA from 1 species
UGGGGAAUCUUGCACAAUGGGGGCAACCCUGAUGCAGCGACGCCGCGUGAGCGAUGAAGCCCUUCGGGGCGUAAAGCUCUUUCGACCGGAACGAUAAUGACGGUACCGGGAGAAGAAGCUGCGGCUAACUACGCGCCAGCAGCCGCGGUAAUACGUAGGCAGCAAGCGUUGUUCGGAGUUACUGGGCGUAAAGAGUGCGUAGGCGGUUUUCUAAGUUCGGUGUGAAGUCGCCCGGCUUAACUGGGAGGGUGCGCCGAAGACUGGGAAGCUGGAGUGUGGGAAAGGCAGGCGGAAUUCCUGGUGUAGCGGUGAAAUGCGUAGAUAUCAGGAGGAACACCGGCGGUGUAGACGGCUUGCUAGACCAUAACUGACGCUGAGGCACGAAAGCGUGGGUAGCAAACA